rnacentral:rRNA from 1 species
GAGCCUUUGUAUUCGUACGGAGGAUUUCUUAGUGGCGAACGGGUGAGUAACACGUUGGUGACCUGCCCCGAAGACUGGGACAACAGUUCGAAAGGACUGCUAAUACCGGAUAUGGUCCUUAGGGUUAGAGACCUUUGGAUCAAAGGGAGCAAUUCGCUUCGGGAGGGGCCUGCGGCCCAUCAGCUAGUUGGUAGGGUAAUGGCCUACCAAGGCGACGACGGGUAGGGGACCUGAGAGGGUGAUCCCCCACACUGGGACUGAGACACGGCCCAGACACCUACGGGUGGCAGCAGUAGGGAAUCUUGCACAAUAGACGAAAGUCUGAUGCAGCAACACCGCGUGGAGGAAGAAGGCCUUCGGGUUGUAAACUCCUUUUCGGGGGGAUGAGGAAGGACAGUACCCCCGGAAUAAGUCUCGGCUAACUACGUGCCAGCAGCCGCGGUAAAACGUAGGAGGCAAGCGUUAUCCGGAUUUACUGGGCGUAAAGCGCGUGCAGGCGGCUUGCUAAGUCGGACGUGAAAUCUCCCGGCUCAACUGGGAGAGGCCGUUCGAAACUAGUAGGCUUGAGGGCGGUAGAGGGAAGUGGAAUUCCAGGUGUAGCGGUGAAAUGCGUAGAUAUCUGGAGGAACACCAGUGGCGAAAGCGGCUUCCUGGACCGAUCCUGACGCUAAGACGCGAAAGCUAGGGGAGCAAACGGGAUUAGAAACCCCGGUAGUCCUAGCUGUAAACGAUGUGGACUUGGUGUUGGUGGUUUAAACUCCAUCAGUGCCGAAAGCUAACGCGAUAAGUCCACCGCCUGGGGACUACGAUCGCAAGAUUAAAACUCAAAGGAAAUUGACGGGGGGCCCGCACAAGCAGCGGAGCGUGUGGGUUUAUUUCGAGGCUACGCGAAGACCUUUACCAGGGUUUGA